AGUCGUAACAAGGUAUCCGUAGGUGAACCUGCGGAUGGAUCAUUAACAAAGGUGUAUUUGAAGUUGUGUGAACAGUUGGAGGUGGUGGUGGUGGUGGUACUGGGUGGUAUUGGGUGGUAUUGGGUGGUAUUGAGUGGUGUAACCUUGGUCUAACCUUGGUCAACCUCACUCAACCUCACUCAACCUCACUCUCCCAACCUCACUCUCCCAACCUCCACCACUCCGUCCCUAUAAUGUAUACAAACUGAUGUCUGCUAGUUUCAAACUAAAACAACUUUUAGCAACGGAUCUCUUGGCUCUC
rnacentral:misc_RNA from 1 species